rnacentral:rRNA from 1 species
AUACGGAGGAUGCGAGCGUUAUCCGGAUUUAUUGGGUUUAAAGGGUGCGUAGGCGGAUGUUUAAGUCAGUUGUGAAAGUUUAAGGCUCAACCGUAAAAUUGCAGUUGAUACUGGACGACUUGAGUGUAUUUGAUGUGGGCGGAAUUCGUGGUGUAGCGGUGAAAUGCUUAGAUAUUGCACAGAACUCCAAUUGAGAAGGCAGCUUACCGGACUGUAACUGACGCUGAUGCACGAAAGCGUGGGGAUCAAACAGGAUUAGAUACCCUGGUAGUCCACGCCUUAAACGAUGUACACUCGCUGUUUGCGAUAUACAGUAAGCGGCCAAGCGAAAGCAUUAAGUAAUCCACCUGGGGAGUACGCCGGCAACGGUGA